CUGCGUCAUUCACCUCACUUCAUCUUAUCACGUAGGCGUUUUAUCUCCCAUCAUCACAACAAGAAGACAGCUGCUUGUGGUCAACCACAGUCUGGAAGCAGAUGAUCUCUUGAUGUGUCAUAGCCUAACACUACAUCACAAAGCCUACGUCAUUCACCUCACUUCAUCUCAUCACUUCAGUGUGUUAUCUCACAUCAUCACAAGAAGG